GAGAGUUUGAUUAUGGCUCAGGAUGAACGCUAGCUACAGGCUUAACACAUGCAAGUCGUGGGGCAUCAUGAUGUAGUAAUACAUUGAUGGCGACCGGCGCACGGGUGAGUAACGCGUAUCCAACCUACCCUCCACUCAAGUAUAGGCUUCCGAAAGGGAGAUUAAUCCUUGAUAUCGUCAUUCUCUCUCCUGUUAGAAUGAUAAAAGGACAUCGUUUCGGUAGAGGAUGGGGAUGCGUUCCAUUAGGUAGUAGGUGGUUUAACAGGCCACCUAGCCGAUGAUGGAUAGGGGUUCUGAGAGGAAUAUCCCCCACACUGGUACUGAGAUACGGACCAGACUCCUACGGGAGGCAGCAGUGAGGAAUAUUGGUCAAUGGGCGCAAGCCUGAACCAGCCAUGUAGCGUGAAGGAUGACGGUUUUUUUGAUUGUAAACUUCUUUUCUGUGCGAUUAAAGUGUGGCAUUUAUGCCAUAUUGCAGUUAUCUCAGGAAUAAGCAUCGGCUAACUCCGUGCCAGCAGCCGCGGUAAUACGGAGGAUGCGAGCGUUAUCCGGAUUUAUUGGGUUUAAAGGGAGCGUAGAUGGUUUUUUAAGUCAGCUGUCAAAUGUAUGGGCUCAACCCUUAUUAUCAGUUGAAACUGUAAGACUUGAGUGCGGUGUGGGUACAUGGAAUUCGUGGUGUAGCGGUGAAAUGCAUAGAUAUCACGAAGAACUCCGAAAGCGUACGCAUUGUACCAUAGCGCCACUGACAUUGAUGCUCGAAGGUGCGGGAAUCAAACAGGAUUAGAUACCCUGGUAGUCCGCACAGUAAACGAUGAAUGCUCGACGUUGUCGAUAUACUGUCAGCGUCCAAGCGAAAGCGUUAGCAUUCCACCUGGGGAGUACGCGGCAACGUGAACUCAAAGAUUGACGGGGCCGCACAGCGAGACAUGUGUUAUCGAUGAUACGCGCGACUACCGGCUGAUGUACUGUAGUGUUGAAGAUCAUCGUCUUGUAAAACAGAUGAAGUGCUGCAUGUUGUCGUCAGCUCUUGCGGAAGGUCGCUCAAUGCAUACAGGCACCUUUCCUCAGUUUCAACGAAUAUCCGAAUCUGUUGGACAGCCAUUAAUGAGAGAGUGGAUAAGCUCUAUCGCAGCCUCUAGAGUUCUCAGAGCACUCUACCACACAUGUGCACCAUG
rnacentral:rRNA from 1 species